AUCCAGUCGAUGAGUCCCAAAUCGGACGAAAUGCGCAUCCGCGUUGGAU
rnacentral:hammerhead_ribozyme from 1 species